AGUCUGCAUCACACACAUGCUCCAACUACUCCUCAUUGUUCUCUCACUUUUUCAGAGUCUCCCAGGAGAGAGAGAAAUGACAGCAACACCUAUUACUAACAAACACACAGGCCUUGUCUGCACUGGGAAAUUGCAUCAGGUAAACAGAGUUGCCAGCUUGGCUGCAAAUCUCCCCGCUCCAGGUGCCUCAGUAGUGGUGAGAACUGCUCCCUGUUACAGCUGCCACAGAACCAGCAGAGUCCACCAGAAGCUGAUUUGGGCUGAAGUGUGGAGAUCUAGUUUGCAGCUGCCAUUACUUACUACAGUCCUCCAAAGAAAUGUGUGAAUGGGAGGAGAAAAUAAAACUUUACAUGUAAUCUCA